rfam:Bradyrhizobium lablabi strain CCBAT 23086 scaffold97, whole genome shotgun sequence.
UUCGCUCAUUUACGAAGGAUUAAGCUUUCUCCUUUAUGACUGGCAUUGUCCUCGUUUGGACACCGAGUGGCUCCUGUCCACUCUGUUUGACGCCUCCCUGUUAUCAACUUCAAAAGCCGCCGGAAACGGCGGCUCUUUUUUG